UAUCUUUCACUGAACAAGGAACAGAUAUUAACCAUCAUUAGCCACUGCAAUCUUUUAUUUUGCUGAUAAGAGACAGCCAAUGCACUUCUCUUGAGAAUUAUCUUGUCUAUUUAUCUACUGCUCUAGCAUUUCUCAUCUUGUCCCAAGAACGAUCACUUGGAACUAAAUAUGAAGAUGGGAUUUGUUUCUGUUGCUUUGCUACUAUGCCUGCUUCUACAAGGAACUACACAAAUUACAUCACAAAGAACUACACAAAUGAC